rnacentral:rRNA from 1 species
GAUGAACGCUGGCGGCGUGCCUAAUACAUGCGAGUCGAGCGAACGGACGAGAAGCUUGCUUUUCUGAUGUUAGCGGCGGACGGGUGAGUAACACGUGGAUAACCUACCUAUAAGACUGGGAUAACUUCGGGAAACCGGAGCUAAUACCGGAUAAUAUUUUGAACCGCAUGGUUCAAAAGUGAAAGACGGUCUUGCUGUCACUUAUAGAUGGAUCCGCGCUGCAUUAGCUAGUUGGUAAGGUAACGGCUUACCAAGGCAACGAUGCAUAGCCGACCUGAGUGGGUGAUCGGCCACACUGGAACUGAGACACGGUCCAGACUCCUACGAGAGGCAGCAGUAGGGAAUCUUCCGCAAUGGGCGAAAGCCUGACGGAGCAACGCCGCGUGAGUGAUGAAGUUCUUCGGAUCGUAAAACUCUGUUAUUAGGGAAGAACAUAUUUGUAAGUAACUGUGCACAUCUUGACGGUACCUAAUCAGAAAGCCACGGCUAACUACGUG